rnacentral:rRNA from 1 species
AUUUGACUCAACGCGGGGAAUCUUACCGGGUCCGGACACACUGAGGAUUGACAGACAGUUGUCUUUCCCUCCCUUCGGGGUGGGAUUACAAAAGAUAACAGAUCUUUCAUGAUCAUGUGAUGGGUGGUGCAUGGCCGUUCUUAGUUCGUGGAGUGAUCUGUCUGCUUAAUUGCGUUUCAAAUUUUAUAUUUGUUAACAUGCGAGUCUUCAAUGACGGCCACUCCACCUUAUAGACAUUAUAUGAUAUGCACAUUUGUGUAUUUGAUUAUAACUUGUCUGGAGUCUGGCUCGAUUUUUUUGACUCAAUUGAACGCAACGGACGUGAUUGCAAGUCCUUGUUGAACAAAUUAUAUAUAUACUACUUCAUCAUUAGUAUAUAUAGUUCGCUUCUCAUGUCGUAGCAGUCAAACGGGCGGGCGUCUUAAUUGGCGCGGUCACGAGGCUUAAUAUGCUGCGGCUGGGGAAAACUUGGGCGACCGCUGUAAUACUUCUCUCUUAAACCAGAGGAAGAUUGCGGCAAUAACAGG